GGAGGCUCCCUGUACUGUCACUUGCCACUUUCACCCCUAUCUAAUCUUUGCUUCAGAACUGUAUUUUGGGGUCCACAAAUCAAAUAUAAACUUUCUCACCUCAUGUCAAAGUAUAGAACACCACCAUUUCCCAUUUCUAUUUUUUCAAGUGGGGGAAAAAUAGCUACUCGAGAACAGCACCUAUGAUGGAACUGAUGCCAGGAUGUAGGUGCCAGAGCAGCAGGACACAACAGAAUCACCAAAAGCAGUGCUGACAAGGGAGGAAAAAGCUAUGUGACAUCUCGGGAACUAAGAUGAGAAAACUAAGAUCCAGUGAAGUAAAUGGAGUCAUCUAGGAUCACAAAAAUUUGAGAUUAGAAGCCAAUUCCUUCUCCCAAGCCACAGCUUUUUCCCUGCUGUAUGGUCUCUAGAAGAAUCUAU
rnacentral:lncRNA from 1 species